rnacentral:rRNA from 1 species
AUGAAGCCGCUUCGGUGGUGGAUUAGUGGCGAACGGGUGAGUAACACGUGGGCAAUCUGCCCUUCACUCUGGGACAAGCCCUGGAAACGGGGUCUAAUACCGGAUAAUACUCCUGCCUGCAUGGGUGGGGGUUGAAAGCUCCGGCGGUGAAGGAUGAGCCCGCGGCCUAUCAGCUUGUUGGUGGGGUAAUGGCCUACCAAGGCGACGACGGGUAGCCGGCCUGAGAGGGCGACCGGCCACACUGGGACUGAGACACGGCCCAGACUCCUACGGGAGGCAGCAGUGGGGAAUAUUGCACAAUGGGCGAAAGCCUGAUGCAGCGACGCCGCGUGAGGGAUGACGGCCUUCGGGUUGUAAACCUCUUUCAGCAGGGAAGAAGCGCAAGUGACGGUACCUGCAGAAGAAGCGCCGGCUAACUACGUGCCAGCAGCCGCGGUAAUACGUAGGGCGCAAGCGUUGUCCGGAAUUAUUGGGCGUAAAGAGCUCGUAGGCGGCUUGUCACGUCGGAUGUGAAAGCCCGGGGCUUAACCCCGGGUCUGCAUUCGAUACGGGCUAGCUAGAGUGUGGUAGGGGAGAUCGGAAUUCCUGGUGUAGCGGUGAAAUGCGCAGAUAUCAGGAGGACUCACCGGUGGCGAAUUCGGAUCUCCCAUUACUGACGCUGAGGAGCGAAAGCGUGGGGAGCGAACAGGAUCCCAUACCCUGGUAGUCUAGACGCCGUAAA